rnacentral:rRNA from 1 species
GCCUAAUACAUGCAAGUCGAGCGAACAGAUAAGGAGCUUGCUCCUUUGACGUUAGCGGCGGACGGGUGAGUAACACGUGGGUAACCUACCUAUAAGACUGGGAUAACUUCGGGAAACCGGAGCUAAUACCGGAUAACAUUUGGAACCGCAUGGUUCUAAAGUGAAAGAUGGUUUUGCUAUCACUUAUAGAUGGACCCGCGCCGUAUUAGCUAGUUGGUAAGGUAACGGCUUACCAAGGCAACGAUACGUAGCCGACCUGAGAGGGUGAUCGGCCACACUGGAACUGAGACACGGUCCAGACUCCUACGGGAGGCAGCAGUAGGGAAUCUUCCGCAAUGGGCGAAAGCCUGACGGAGCAACGCCGCGUGAGUGACGAAGGGUUUCGGCUCGUAAAACUCUGUUAUCAGGGAAGAACAAACGUGUAAGUAACUAUGCACGUCUUGACGGUACCUAAUCAGAAAGCCACGGCUAACUACGUGCCAGCAGCCGCGGUAAUACGUAGGUGGCAAGCGUUAUCCGGAAUUAUUGGGCGUAAAGCGCGCGUAGGCGGUUUCUUAAGUCUGAUGUGAAAGCCCACGGCUCAACCGUGGAGGGUCAUUGGAAACUGGGAAACUUGAGUGCAGAAGAGGAUAGUGGAAUUCCAUGUGUAGCCGUGAAAUGCGCAGAGAUAUGGAGGAACACCAGUGGCGAAGGCGACUUUCUGGUCUGUAACUGACGCUGAUGUGCGAAAGCGUGGGGAUCAAACAGGAUUAGAUACCCUGGUAGUCCACGCCGUAAAACGAUGAGUGCUAAGUGUUAGGGGGUUUCCGCC